rnacentral:rRNA from 1 species
AAUUUGACCUCGGAUCAGGUAGGAAUACCCGCUGAACUUAAGCAUAUCAAUAAGCGGAGGAAAAGAAACCAACAGGGAUUGCCCUAGUAACGGCGAGUGAAGCCGAGCAACAGCUCAUAAUUUGAAAUCUGCCUCGGCCCGAGUUGUAAUUUGCAUGAGGAUGCUUCUGGCCGGGUGCCUUCCGAGUUCCCUGGAACGGUACGACCACAGAGGGUGAGAGCCCCGUAUGGUACUGGAUCAACCAAGCCUGUGUCAAGCUC